rnacentral:rRNA from 1 species
GUGUCAGCAGCCGCGGUAAUACAGAGGUCUCAAGCGUUGUUCGGAAUUACUGGGCGUAAAGGGUGCGCAGGCUGCGUUGAAAGUCAGAUGUGCAAUUCAGGGGCUCAACCUCUGGACUGCAUCCGAUACUACAAUGCUAGAGUCAUGGAGGGGGAUCUGGAAUUCUCGGUGUAGCAGUGAAAUGCGUAGAUAUCGAGAGGAACACCAACGGCGAAGGCAAGAUCCUGGACAUGUACUGACGCUCAUGCACGAAGGCUUGGGUAGCAAACGGGAUUAGAUACCCGUGUAGUCC